UACGAAGGGGGCUAGCGUUGCUCGGAAUCACUGGGCGUAAAGGGCGCGUAGGCGGCCUGAUAAGUCGGGGGUGAAAGCCUGUGGCUCAACCUCAGAAUUGCCUUCGAUACUGUUAGGCUUGAGACCGGAAGAGGUAAGUGGAACUGCGAGUGUAGAGGUGAAAUUCGUAGAUAUUCGCAAGAACACCAGUGGCGAAGGCGGCUUACUGGUCCGGAUCUGACGCUGAGGCGCGAAAGCGUGGGGAGCAAACAGG
rnacentral:rRNA from 1 species